rnacentral:rRNA from 1 species
CCGCGCCGUAGCUAACGCAUUAAGUGCCCCGCCUGGGGAGUACGGCCGCAAGGCUAAAACUCAAAGGAAUUGACGGGGGCCCGCACAAGCGGCGGAGCAUGCGGAUUAAUUCGAUGCAACGCGAAGAACCUUACCAAGGCUUGACAUGUGCCAGACCGCCUCAGAGAUGGGGUUUCCCUUCGGGGCUGGUUCACAGGUGGUGCAUGGUUGUCGUCAGCUCGUGUCGUGAGAUGUUGGGUUAAGUCCCGCAACGAGCGCAACCCUCGUUCCAUGUUGCCAGCACGUAAAGGUGGGGACUCAUGGGAGACUGCCGGGGUCAACUCGGAGGAAGGUGGGGAUGACGUCAAAUCAUCAUGCCCCUUAUGUCUUGGGCUUCACGCAUGCUACAAUGGCCGGUACAAUGGGUUGCGAUACUGUGAGGUGGAGCUAAUCCCUAAAAGCCGGUCUCAGUUCGGAUUGGGGUCUGCAACUCGACCCCAUGAAGUCGGAGUCGCUAGUAAUCGCAGAUCAGCAACG